ensembl:snoRNA SNORA74 Small nucleolar RNA SNORA74
CCCAGCUGUAGGCAACUGCCUAGGUUGUAUUGUACCUCGGCAAGUGUUACUCUCCUGGGAGAAAAGCAGCCAAUAGCUGGCAGGCAUUCUGGACCUGGUUAAUGUCACAUU